rnacentral:rRNA from 1 species
AUUGAACGCUGGCGGCAGGCCUAACACACGCAAGUCGAACGAGUGGCGGACGGGUGAGUAAGGUCUGGGAAACUGCCUGGUGGAGGGGGAUAACUACUGGAAACGGUAGCUAAUACCGCAUACCAUCGGAUGUGCCCAGGUGGGAUUAGCUAGUAGGGGGGGUAACGGAUCACCUAGGCGACGAUCCCUAGCGGGUCUGAGAGGAUGAACAGGCACACUGUAACGGAGACACGGUCCAGACUCCUACGGGAGGCAGCAGUAGGGUAAAUUGCGCAAAGGGCGCAAGGCGUAUGCAGCCGUGCCGGGUGUAUGAAGAAGGCCUUGGGGUUGUAGAGUACGUUCAGCGAGGAGGCGUUUCUCGCAGAAGAAGCGCCGGGUAACUCCGUGCCAGCAGCCGCGGUAAUUC